rnacentral:snRNA from 1 species
GUGCUCACUUUGGCAGCACAGAUAUUAAUACAAUACAGAGAAGAUUAGCAAGGCGCCUGCACAAGGAUGACACACACGUUUGUGAAGUGUUCCAUAUUUUU